AGUGAACGCUCGCGGUAGGCCUAACACAUGCGAGUCGAACGGCAGCACAGUAAGAGCUUGCUCUUACGGGUGGCGAGUGGCGGACGGGUGAGGAAUACAUCGGAAUCUACUUUUUCGUGGGGGAUAACGGAGGGAAACUUACGCUAAUACCGCAUACGACCUACGGGUGAAAGCAGGGGAUCUUCGGACCUUGCGCGAAUGAAUGAGCCGAUGUCGGAUUAGCUAGUUGGCGGGGUAAAGGCCCACCAAGGCGACGAUCCGUAGCUGGUCUGAGAGGAUGAUCAGCCACACUGGAACUGAGACACGGUCCAGCCUCCUCCGGGAGGCAGCAGUGGGGAAUAUUGGCCAAUGGGCGCAAGCCUGAUCCAGCCCUACCGCGUGGGUGAAGAAGGCCUUCGGGUUGUAAAGCCCUUUUGUUGGGAAAGAAAAGCAGCAGGUUAAUACCCCGCUGUUCUGACGGUACCCAAAGAAUAAGCACCGGCUAACUUCGUG
rnacentral:rRNA from 1 species